rnacentral:tRNA from 1 species
UGCAUCGGCCAGGAAUCGAACCCGGGUCGCCCGCGUGGCAGGCGAGCAUUCUACCACUGAACCAAAAGC